GACGAACCGUGCGAACGUUGUUCGGAUUCACUGGGCUUAAAGGGCGCGUAGGCGGGUCGGUCCGUCUGGGGUGAAAUCCUCUCGCUUAACGAGAGAACGGCCCUGGAUACCACCGAUCUCGAGGGAGGUAGGGGCAUGUGGAACUUCCGGUGGAGCGGUGAAAUGCGUAGAUAUCGGAAGGAACGCCGGUGGCGAAAGCGAUCCGCCGGACCUCUUCUGACACUGAGGCGCGAAAGCCAGGGGAGCAAACGGG
rnacentral:rRNA from 1 species